GUAUUCCAUACGGAAUACAUAUACUAAAAUUGGAACGAUACAGAGAAGAUUAGCAUGGCCCCUGCGCAAGGAUGACACGCAAGAUUAGCAUGGCCCCUGCGCAAGGAUGACACGCAAAAUCGUGAAGCGUUCCACAUUUUU
rnacentral:snRNA from 1 species